UGGGGAAUAUUGCGCAAUGGCCGAAAGGCUGACGCAGCGACGCCGCGUGGGGGAUGAAGCAUUUCGGUGUGUAAACCCCUGUUGCUCGGGACGAACAACCUCUUUAGAGAGGUCUGACGGUACCGGGUGAGGAAGCACCGGCUAACUCCGUGCCAGCAGCCGCGGUAAUACGGAGGGUGCGAGCGUUGUCCGGAAUCACUGGGCGUAAAGGGCGCGUAGGCGGUCUGCUAAGCGUGCGGUGAAAGCCUGGGGCUCAACCCCAGGUCUGCCGUGCGAACUGGUGGACUAGAGCACUGUAGAGGCAGGUGGAAUUCCGGGUGUAGCGGUGGAAUGCGUAGAGAUCCGGAAGAACACCGGUGGCGAAGGCGGCCUGCUGGGCAGUUGCUGACGCUGAGGCGCGACAGCGUGGGGAGCAAACAGG
rnacentral:rRNA from 1 species